rnacentral:rRNA from 1 species
GAUGAACGCUAGCGGCAGGCUUAACACAUGCAAGUCGAGGGGCAGCGUGAUGAAGUAGCAAUACGGAUUUGACGGCGACCGGCGCACGGGUGCGUAACGCGUAUGUAACCUACCUUUAACAGGGGGGAUAACACUGAGAAAUUGGUACUAAUACCCCAUAACACUAACUGAGGCAUCUUAGUUAGUUGAAAGUUCCGGCGGUUAGAGAUGGACAUGCGUUGUAUUAGCUAGAUGGUGAGGUAACGGCUCACCAUGGCGACGAUACAUAGGGGACUGAGAGGUUAACCCCCACACUGGUACUGAGACACGGACCAGACUCCUACGGGAGCAGCAGUGAGGAAUAUUGGUCAAUGGACGCAAGUCUGAACCAGCCAUGCCGCGUGCAGGAAGACGGCUCUAU